AUGGAUUUGGGGCUGAUGUGGCUUUUCCUUGUUGCUCUUUUAAAAGGUGUCCAGUGUGAAGUGAAGCUGAUGGAGUCUGGGGGUGGCCAGAUACAGCCUGGGGGAUCCGUGAGACUCUCCUGUGCAGCCUCUGGAUUCACAUUCAGUGACUACUGGAUGACCUGGAUCAGACAGGCUCCAAGGAAGGGGCUGUUGUGGGUUGGAGAAAUUAAUCCAGGUAGUGGUACCAAAAACUAUGCCCCAUCCCUGAAGGACCGCUUCACCAUCUCCAGAGACAAUGCCAAGAACACACUGUACCUGCAAAUGAGCAGUGUGAGAUCUGAGGACACCGCCACCUAUUAUUGUACUACAGGCACAGUGAGGGGACUUCAGUGCACACCCAGACAUAAACCUCACUGUGAGGCUGCUCUGGGCCACCAGGGGGCUCAGGGCACACAGAAAACAGACCAGCCCUCUCUGAUCCAGGAGUUUAUGAAGAUAAUUUAG